GGCUCUUUAGCUCAGUUGGUAGAGCAGGGGCCUGAAGAGCCCUGUGUCCCCAGUUCAAGUCUGGGAGGAGCCACCA
rnacentral:tRNA from 5 species